GAUGAACGCUGGCGGCGUGCCUAAUACAUGCAAGUCGAGCGAACGGACGAGAAGCUUGCUUUUCUGAUGUUAGCGGCGGACGGGUGAGUAACACGUGGAUAACCUACCUAUAAGACUGGGAUAACUACGGGAAACCGGAGCUAAUACCGGAUAAUAUUUUGAACCGCAUGGUUCAAAAGUGUAAGACGGUCUUGCUGUCACUGAUAGAUGGAUCCGCGCUGCAUUAGCUAGUUGGUAAGGUAACGGCUUACCAAGGCAACGAUGCAUAGCCGACCUGAGAGGGUGAUCGGCCACACUGGAACUGAGACACGGUCCAGACUCCUACGGGAGGCAGCAGUAGGGAAUCUUCCGCAAUGGGCGAAAGCCUGACGGAGCAACGCCGCGUGAGUGAUGAAGGUCUUCGGAUCGUAAAACUCUGUUAUUAGGGAAGAACAUAUGUGUAAGUAACUGUGCACAUCUUGACGGUACCUAAUCAGAAAGCCACGGCUAACUACGUG
rnacentral:rRNA from 1 species